rnacentral:lncRNA from 1 species
AAAAGGAUCUGGUCUGUUCAUCACCAUAAACUUUUAGUAUUUUCUUCUUAAAUGCAAUAACAAUAUCAAAAUCAUUUUCCUCAUCUUCUCUCACCUCCAUAACUUUAAGAUUUUCUUCUUUCUCUGUAGUAGAUUUCCUGUAUCUUCUUCUUGUAGUAGUAGAAGACUUACUCUUCUUCAUUAUAUCUGCUAGCAAUCUAUCUCAGACCCUAU